CAGUAGCCGCGGGAAUACAGAGGAUGCAAGCGUUAUCCGGAAUGAUUGGGCGUAAAGCGUCUGUAGGUGGCUUUUCAAGUCCGCCGUUAAAUCCCAGGGCUCAACCCUGGACAGGCGGUGGAAACUACCAAGCUGGAGUACGGUAGGGGCAGAGGGAAUUUCCGGUGGAGCGAUGAAAUGCGUUGAGAUCGGAAGGAACACCAACGGCGAAAGCACUCUGCUGGGCCGACACUGACACUGAGAGACGAAAGCUAGGGGAGCAAAUGGGAUUAGAGACCCGGGUAGUCCCUGUCUCUUAUAC
rnacentral:rRNA from 1 species